rnacentral:rRNA from 1 species
UACGUAGGGAGCAAGCGUUGUCCGGAUUUACUGGGUGUAAAGGGUGCGUAGGCGGCUCUGCAAGUCAGGCGUGAAAGCCGGAGGCUUAACCUCCGAACUGCGUUUGAAACUGUGGAGCUUGAGUGAAGUAGAGGUAGGCGGAAUUCCCGGUGUAGCGGUGAAAUGCGUAGAGAUCGGGAGGAACACCAGUGGCGAAGGCGGCCUACUGGGCUUUAACUGACGCUGAGGCACGAAAGCAUGGGUAGCAAAC